rnacentral:misc_RNA from 1 species
GAUGAAGAACGCAGCGAAAUGCGAUACGUAAUGUGAAUUGCAGAAUUCAGUGAAUCAUCGAGUCUUUGAACGCACAUUGCGCCCGCCAGUAUUCUGGCGGGCAUGCCUGUCCGAGCGUCAUUUCAACCAUCAAGCCCCGGGCUUGUGUUGGGGACCUGCGUCCGACGCAGGCCCUGAAAACCAGUGGCGGGCUCGCUGUCCACACCGAGCGUAGUAACUAACCUCGCUAUGGAGUGGCGCGGGCGCCUGCCGUAAAACCCCCAAUUUUUACAAGGUUGACCUCGGAUCAGGUAGGAAUACCCGCUGAACUUAAGCAUAUCAAUAAGCGGAGGA